UAAAUACAGGAUCAGUUCAUUUGCAUAUUGAUCAGAUGCUUCAGUGCUCUGAGAGUGUUUAUAGUGCUGUGAGUUUAACACUUCAUCACUGACACACACAACAAUCUUCAUCAACAUGACCUUCAUCAUCAUCUUCAUCUGGACUCUCACAGCGUUUGCUCAAGAGUGUAGAGGACAGAUCACCGUCACUCAGAGUCCCUCAACGACAGCAGCUCGACCAGAAGAAACAGUCAAAAUCAGCUGUACAACCAGCACAGAUGUGGCUGAACGUAGUGCGCCACGUUACUAUUUAAGCUGGUACUUACAGAAACCUGGAGAAGCUCCUAAACUCCUGAUAUAUUGGACAACAAACCGUUACACUGGAACUCCAUCUAGAUUCAGUGGCAGUGGAUCAUCUGCAAGAGAUUUCACUCUGACCAUCAGUGGAGUCCAGACUGAAGAUGCUGGACAUUAUUACUGUCAGAGUUUACACAGUGGUCCAGUGUUCACACAGUGAUAAAGAGUCGUACAAAAACCUCCGUCAGUCAGAGUCACAGAGACUGAACUGAUCCUGCAGCUGCUCAAACACUAUCACUCACUACUGACACACAGAGACAAACACAGCAGCUACACAUGAGCUCAAAAUACCCUGCGUCCCAAUGUUCAUAUAUCCAUCCUUGAUAGUGUGUGAGAUUAGAAUAAGUGUGUCCCAAAGCAUAGCAUGUUGAAAAGAGUAUGCCAAAACUCCCCGGAUGGUCUACUAUUUCAGGUCGAUUUUUGAGGUGUGGAUCCGUGCACACUCGAAUGG